rnacentral:rRNA from 1 species
GACGAACGCUGGCGGCGUGCUUAACACAUGCAAGUCGAACGGAAAGGCCCUGCUUUUGUGGGGUGCUCGAGUGGCGAACGGGUGAGUAACACGUGAGUAACCUGCCCUUGACUUUGGGAUAACUUCAGGAAACUGGGGCUAAUACCGGAUAGGAGCUCCUGCUGCAUGGUGGGGGUUGGAAAGUUUCGGCGGUUGGGGAUGGACUCGCGGCUUAUCAGCUUGUUGGUGGGGUAGUGGCUUUCCAAGGCUUUGACGGGUAGCCGGCCUGAGAGGGUGACCGGCCACAUUGGGACUGAGAUACGGCCCAGACUCCUACGGGAGGCAGCAGUGGGGAAUAUUGCACAAUGGGCGGAAGCCUGAUGCAGUAACGCCGCGUGCGGGAUGACGGCCUUCGGGUUGUAAACCGCUUUCGCCUGUGACGAAGCGUGAGUGACGGUAAUGGGUAAAGAAGCACCGGCUAACUACGUG